rnacentral:tRNA from 1 species
GUCUUCGUGGCUCAGUUGGUUAGAGCGUUGGUCUCAUAUCGUCUUCGAUCAUGAGGAUGUCCACGACAUCCUGAUAUCCAAAGGUCGCGAGUUCGAGUCUCGCCGAGGACA